rnacentral:pre_miRNA from 1 species
GGUGUGUUGAGGGGAAUGUUGGCUGGCUCGAAGCUUAAGCAAAGAGUUUCCUAACAUGAAACAACUGUUAAGGCUUCGGACCAGGCUUCAUUCCCCUCAAACAUA